GAGGGCGCCCUAGUCGCAGUACCUCGCAAGAGCGGGCAUGGAAGUUCUAUCCUAUUGCCCGAGACAGGACUGUCUUCCAGAUAAAGAAUUGCUGAACUGUUCGUUUUUCCCUGGUGGAGCGUCUACUGAUUUAUGCUUAAUCCUAACUAGUAUAUUGAUGGUGUCACAAUAAUGGAUGUUUCGAUGCCCUCGUAUUUUUUGCAUUGAUUCUACGUUUUUGCUUUUGAUAAGUAAUUAACUUCUAGUGUGUUAUUGCUGGUAGCUGCCCUUCUACAACUUUAUAGAAGAAUAUGAGACGUUGGUGUAUUCAUGUUUGAAGUGUUGGAAGGUUUAGUCUACUACUGUUUAAGCUGGUUUACAAGUGGCAUUGUGUUCCUUUUCAUAAAUUUAUGGCGUUCAAAAUUACAGAAAAAGAUACAAAGAGCUAUUGGUUAUUUAUAUUUAAAACUAGCAAAAAUCGCAGUGAAGGCCCAGUAUUGACCUACAGCCAGGGACGUAUAGGCCUAAUCAUAUAAUAUUGAUCGGGUUGAGCCAGAGACGUAUAUACGUCUCUGGGUUGAGCACAACCCUGCAUUUGAGGGAUGAUUACUGCUUUGGGUAGUCUCAGAUAAUUUCGAAGUAGAAACACAUUAAGUUCUUUUAAACAUUUGCAACAUAUGAAGGUCAAUCAGUAGAUUGUAUAUUACUGGACCUGUAUAGAUGAACAGAGUUAAUGUUGAUACGUGCAUCAUUUAUGAUAUUAAACAACUUAUCAGAAGACUGUUUUACAAAAUGUGUGGUUCGUUUAGAUCAGGACAGUUUAACAAAGAGAGAGAUAUCAUGCGUGAAUAAAUGUUACGACAAGAACAUGGCCUAUAUGACAAAUUUUAAGAAGUUCUGGAUUAAUAAUAAUGAGGAACAUGCCACUAAAGACAAAACAUGGAAAGAUGGGAGAUAACUCUGGAAUGAAUAUUUCAACCUCAUGUGCAUUUCUAUUAUAUAUAUGUAUAGUGAUAUUUUCUGUUUAGUUGCUGAUUAAUUGAUAAUUAAAAACAUAUUUGUA